rnacentral:tRNA from 1 species
GGCCUGUAGCUCAAUGGUUAGAACUGGCCGCUCAUAACGGUCUGGUUCCCGGUUCGAGCCUGGGCGGGAUC